UUCUGAGCUGCAGUUUUCGUCACGUGAUUGCCCGAAGUGCACCCGAGUCAUAGCUCGGGUGCGCCACCACCGCACGAAACCCGUUCCUAUUGGUGCUCGUCGGAUCACAUGACGAAAACUGCAGCUGGGAAAGACUACACACAAAAGCCUUGAUAUCGCAUUAAACUAAACUUAAUUUAAACUGCAACCAAAGAUUUGGAAAAGAAACACAUCGACAUAAAUCAGCUGCAAUUCAUUAGACAAAAAACUCUGCACUGCACCGAUCAAUUAACUGAUUGUUUACACUUCAAUUUUUCCUGAUGGCGAACAGUUGUUCCAAUUUUACUUGGUUUCUUGGAGCAGGUCGUCAAAAUUUCCUGCUUCCGAGUUUUUUCUAAUUUCUUAUCUAACCGUUUGAUUCUGGACACUUUCCUAAAUUAUUAUUCCCACCCGCAAUGCACUUUUAGUCUCCACGAAUUGCAAUGGAACUUCUACCACGGGGAGGAUCAAAUAUUCUCCUAAAUUUACAACUGUAGCCUCAAUUUCCGUCAUCAUGACCGGACUGCCCUUCAGCCUCGACCUCGUCAGCUUCCUUCCACCGUUCCAUUCUACUCGACGACACAGCCUUGGCGAACUUUUAAUGGAAUCUUAUUUUCUGCGAUGUGGAAUCCAAUAUUCUCCCAAAUUUACAACUCUAUUCUAUUGCAAUCAUCGCAACUGGACAUCCCUCCGCCAAGUUUGUCGACCUCGUCGCCACAUCGAUAAGUAACCUCCUCUCGUCCACAUUGAGUUGACAUCGUUUCAUAAUAAUCUAUAAGCUAAUGUAUUUAACGUGUAACUUUCAGUUUAGAAAUUCUACUAUUUUUUAAGUCCAAAUUCUCUUCGCAGUGAAAUUUAUGUUAAAAUUAUUCAAUCCUUUAAACUUUCUCACAAUCUUCACAUUUCGUUGGUCAGUCUGUUUACUAUCCAGUCUAUGUUAUCCAAUGAUCCUAAUUUUAACACAUUUGUGAAUUUCUUCUUCUAUUUCGUCUUUCUAAACUAUGGCUUCUUUCGUAUACUUCGUUUUUUAGUUCAAUUCACAUAAGUAUGCCUUAACGAAAUGAAGUUCGGUGCAUGGUUAGAUAUCUUUAUUAAUCAAGCAAUAAUUUUCGUUCGAGAGCCCUUAAAGUCAUUUUAGAAAAUAACAAUGUAAGUUAUUAUUCUACAUAUUUCAAGAUAUCGGGAUGUAGAAAAAAGAUGCAAAUCUUGCUUAUCAAUUUUGAACUUAAGCUGGAUGUCAAAGCAGUGAAGUAGACCCUUAGAAAUAAUGGUGCAAAAUUUGGGGAACUUGUAAAGCCCAAGUUGGUUGUCCCAGUUAAGGUUCUCUGAUUUUGUACAUAACUGAAAACUGAUAAAACUUACUUUAAUUACGUUGGUCUUUACUAGUCCCCCAAUAUUUGCAUGCGUAUUUUAUCUAUAGGAGAAAUAGCAAUCAAACGACGCACUGUUCAGAAACUGAAUUGUACAAGAAUGGUAAAUUUGUAUAGUAAGUUUUUCACAGAAACAUUUCAUUUCCAAUUGUAUAAUAUAUUAUCGAUCUGAAAUUUAAGAGGUUCCUCAUAAUUUUUUUGCCUGAAUAUAAAUCUCAGUGGGAAGAGAGCGAUGGUUUUUAUUAUUAUUUUGUAAGCCAAAUGUACUGGUAUGAAAAUAUGGUUUGGAGAGACGAAGUUCAAAAUUAUUUAAAACCAAAAUAUAUUUUAUCUUGUUCAUAUAACAGUUGGAUAGGUCGGCAUUAUUUGUGACUAAAAUAUGCCUAUUCCAGAUUCCUCAAGAAAUACUUUCUUGCGUCAUUUAUUUAUGACAAACUCCCGUUGAUUGCAAAAAUGAGUUUUCUGACCGGGUUUAGAACGUUAACGGAUAAUUUAUUACUAGAAUAUAUUUUCUGCUUGUGUUUCAUUAUUUUGUCUCCAAUCGAGCUUAGGCUAAAUUUCGAAUGAAAAACGAGUGAAUUUAUUUUAAUCAAUUUUGCUGCAAUUUGUAAUUUGCAUUUUCUUAUCAACAUUUUUGGCUCUAUUGACUUCCGUAAUCUUUGGUUUGUAAUUGGACAUUUAGCUUUCGUAGUAAUAAUUAGCUAGUAGUGUAAACAAAUUAAGUGUACGGUUAGAAUGUACAUAUUCAUAUGAAACUUUGUAAUGUUUCCACGUUUUGUAAUGUUUGAAUUGAAUUGAUUUGAUAUUUAUUAUUCAAAAACAUCACGCCACAAUAAAGGUAGGUCUAAUAUAAUCUAGAAACUAGAAUGAAGUCAAGGAAUGUAUAAUUAACAAUAUUGUUGUAGUAAUUAAUUUUAGAAAAUCUUUAUCCUAAAAUGGGAAUGAUUUAACAUUUGUCAAAUUAUCCGUACAACUAUUCCUUAGACAAUUGUAAUGUCUCUCAGAAAUCAUUAUUUAACAGGGAUUUAUGUGGUUGCUAAAAUUGGUAGGUUGCAUAUGGGGAAUUGAUAUAUCCCGCAUGUACUGAGCUGUGAUCCCGUUAAUAUUUUUCAACACUGUUUAUCUUAACUAUUUCUUAAAAUCUUCAUCAAUUUAUUACUGUUCUACCAAAUGUAUCGGUGAAUAAGUAGAACCCAAUAAUGACAAUUCUGCACAUAGCUUAGCUCAGGGCAUGACAUCCUCAAAAAUUAAUUUUAGGAUCUCUAGUUGAAUGCAUUCUUUCCAAUUGUUCAAUCUUAUUGUAGGCUAAGGGCCAACUUAAUGAAUCCCUUUUGAUGGAAGGGUCAAACGCUGUCAUUGUUACAAGCUUUGUAACGAAUCAAAUUAUCGCAGAAAUCAUGACACAAAUUUAUGCAUUAGAUAUUUUGAAAAAUCAGGUCUCCGUCCGAAAUUUGUAACAUCUGUGGCCACUAUUUUUAUACUUAUUUAUCAUGGUAAUGAUGAAUAAUUUAUUGAAUUCCGAGCCAAUUUUUGUCUGAAAAUUUGCUACGCCAAAAAUUUACUAUACAAAAUGGUGAACUUUGUUAAUGCGGAAAUGAAAAACAAUUUUGCCCCCAGAUCCAUUGAGUUACAUGAUCGUUAGUGAUUGCAAUUGUUUUCUACUUUUCAAACAGUUUGUGGGAAAUUGAGCCCUAAAGUUCAUAUCGUUGAGGCACGCUCGUCUAAAAUCUUUAACACUAAAUAUUUUCUCCUACAUUUUUUUAUACGA